AGUGCCAUGGGAUGAAAGAGCUGGAGAAGGAGCUGCCAUUUCCAUGAAGAACUGGGCUUCAAGCUUUGCUAAGUUGGAGAAGAAGAUUGCACAAAGGAGGUAUUGCUCAUCUUCCUAAAUAGAUCUAGGUUUUGCUUGAGCUUGCUUGUGUUCCUUUGUAAGAAUCUUUUUCUACUUAGUGGAUUGCCUGGUCGGUUGAUGACCCCCAGUUUUUCCCAAUGGUGGGUUUCUGGGUGAACAAUUUCUGAUUGCAUCUUUGUAAUUUUUCUGGGUUUCUGUUCUUGGUGGUUGACUAGUCAUCGUAUGAAUUUAUGGGUUUGUGUUCUUGGUGGUUGACUAGUCAUCGUAUGAAUUGUGGUUGACUAGUCAUUGUAUAAAUUCUGGGUUUGUGUCCUUAUAGUUGACUAGUCAUUAUUAUCUGCUGUUUGGUGUUUACUUGAUUAUGAUUGUCUUCACACACUUUCACCAUAGUUGUUGCUAGCACAGGGGAUGCCUAGAUUGAUGGGUCCUUCUGAGUGCCUAGGUUGUCACUAGUAAUUCUCUAGGCCUGCAGGUACAUCUUGGUAUGCUCUGUGUAUGUUAUUGUUUGGUAUAAUUCAUAUCUAACAGUUGACUAGUCAUAAGAGUAUUUGGUCAAGGUCUAGAGCAUAUGAAGGUUGUUGCGUUCUUGAUUGAAUAUCUUUUAAAUUUACCCCUCGUCACCUAAGUACCAAUUUCAAUUGGUAUCAGAGCACCAGCUCUUAACAUAAAUAGAGAGAUCCUUUGGGUGCUAGUUGGUAUUAGGUGUGCAAACAUAAAAAUGGAUCAAAUUGCUCCUUGCAUUCAUGAUGAACUUGCCUUGUUUGUUAAGAAUUAUAGAAGGGUUGUCAAAGAUAAAACCAAAGUCACUAGGAAUUGUCAGAAUCUUCCUAGUUCGUCUACAUGUGUGUCUCAAGACAAUGUUUUUAAGGAGAUGAAUGUUUUGGACUCUUAUGGCUUUAGGGAGGACAAAAGUUUGAAAGGUCUUGUAAAGUGCUAUCUAUGUGGUGGUACUGGUCACAUUGAUAUGGAAUGUGCAAAUAACCACAAGACAAAGUUUAAUGGGAGAGAAGAGUCAAUUAUUGCACAAUGGAGUGAUAAUGGUAGUGAUGAUUCCAAUAACUAUAUCACUUCAUCUUAUGAAGAGGCAAUUAAUUUUGCCCUUGUUGGUUCUGUUCAUAACUCUAGCCUUGCUAGAGUUCCUGUAGUUAAGAAAGAAUCUAUGUCUAGAGAUGAUAUGCAAGAUGACCAGUCAUACAAGGAACAUGAUGACCAGUCAUACAGGGAACUAUGUGAAAAGUAUGAUAUGCUUUUCAAUGAAACCUGUAAUUUCAAAGAACAUAAUCUCAUGAUGGAAGAAAAGGUCAAGGAACUUGAUGAACUGAAUGAAACUCUCAAAAUGGCCAAAAAGAAGUUGAGUGAUAGCUUGUAUGAGAAUGAAGUUGACAUGUAUGAAUUGUAUCAUAAAGUUAGCAUUUUUGAAAAAGAAAAUUCUGAUUUGAUUAAGAAGUUGAAUGUACUUGAAAAUGACAAAUCCUUGUUUCUUCAUAGACUGAUUUUAUUUGAGUUUGAAAAGUCAUUAGUUGAGCAUGAAAAUGUGGUCGUGCAUGAUACGUUUGUGGUUGAAAAUUCUGAUUUGCAAUGCAUGUUAUUUGAGAAAGACAUUGAGGUUCAAAACUUGUUUGAGAUGAUAAAAUCACUUGAAAACAACAUGGUUAAACAAUCUGAAUCUUUUGAUGCUUUAUGAUUUGAAAAUAUAAGAUUGGAACAUGAACUUAAGUUGGAAAAAGAAAAGAUUCAAGGUUUAACCAUUGGUGCUGGAAAGAUUGAUAAAAUGCUCAAUUUUGAAAAAUUGUUCGGUGAUAAAAGAGGUUUAGGAUAUAUAAAUGAGUCUUCUACACCUUCAUCAUUUGAGACAAUCUUUGUCAAAGAUGUGUCAACUCAAGAAGCUCCAAAAUUUGUUCAUGGUCUCAACUUGGGUUUUGAUUCCAUGAAUAUUGUUUCUAAGGGAAAGCCGUCUCUUCCACAAUCCAAAUUUGUGCCUACCUGCCACCAUUGUGGUGUGAAAGGACACAUUCGACCUAGGUGUCAUAUCCUUAGGAUUGAGUCUCAAGUUUCCAAAGAAAGUGAGUUUAAGACUCAUGUGUCAUCUUUUAAGGGGUAUGCAACUGUAAAGUCUGUGGUUUGUACAAGAGAUAAACAUUCUUCACUUGCAAAAUUUGGUUUUCCUAAGGUUAUCUCUUCGCCUCAUAAAGUCUCAAAAGUGAAGCAAGUUUGGAUCAAGAAGGAAGACCAUGUUCUUCCUCAUGUUGGUGUCUAGUUUCUUUAUUUUAUGUAUCUAGACCAUUCUCUUAUUUGUGUGUGCUUCAUGGAGUCUAGAUAUAUUGUCAUGUAUUUGCACCUUGUUCUUUUGUUUUAUUAUUUUUAAAUGUGGACAUUGCAUGCAUAUCUUUCAAUCAUCUCUCUCACAGUGCUUUGAAUCUUGGGUGAUCAACAAAAUUUCAUGUUCUUUUGAACUUAUUCACAUUUAUCUUGUUGUUCUUGUCCAAACAUUUUCCCUUGGUGGCAAGGAAUACAUCCUAUCCAUUGUAGAUGACUUCUUUGGGUUUAUUUUGGUCUCACUCUUGCUUGAAAAAUCAGAAACCUUUCAAAGGUUUAAAUCUGUCUACCAUCUUUUACAAAAAGUUAAGAUGACUAGUCAUCUGCCUCUUGUUAGAAUUAGAACAGAAUCUCAGCUCAUCUGUCCCUGUUGAAAACUUUCUAUAGAAGCAAGAUAGGAAGCCUUCUAUACUUGACUGCAAGUAGACCUGACAUUUCCUAUAGUGUAGGAGUUUUGUGCUAGGUUCCAAAGUGAUCCCAAAGAGUCUCAUUUGUUUGCUGUCAAAAGAAUCAUAAAAUAUGUGAGUAGAACUUUUGAGUUUGGGUUAUAGUAUACUUAUGACACUUGUGUCAAUCUUGUUGAGUAUAGUGAUGCCGAUUGGGCAGGUUGUAGUAAUGGUAGGAAAAGCACUUCCGGGAGGGUCUUUUAUGUAGGCAACAGCCUUGUUGCUUGGCAUAGCAAAAAAUAGAAAUCUAUCUCUUUAUUCAUUGCUGAAGCAGAGUAUGUUAUAGCUGGGAGUUGCUGCACUCAACUCUUUUGGAUGAGACAAAUGUUGGAAGACUAUGGUCUUGCUCAAUCAUGCUUUCUAAUCUAUUGUGACAACAUGAGUGGUAUAGAUAUUUCUAAAAAUCCUGUUCAACACUCUAGGACUAAGCAUAUAGACAUUAGGCACCAUUUUAUUAGAGAUCUUGUGGAAGACAAAAUUCUAUUUUUGGAAUUUGUUCCCUCUGUGAAACAGCUAGCAGAUAUACUCACCAAGGCCUUGGACUUUCAGAAACAUGUCACACUUAGGUAGUCCAUUGGCCUUUGCUCAAUUGAUUGAUUAACUUGUCUGUUCCUUAUCUUCAGCACAUUACAGAACUGUUGACUAGUCAUCUUCGUUUUAGUUGACUAGUCAAAUAUAAAUUUUUGUUUACUUGGUGUGCAAAUGUCAAAAACAUCUGUUUCUUCUGAUCUCUGAUGGUGUGAAGUUUGAUUCAUUUUAUGCUUUGCCUGAUUUGUGCAUAAUUCCCCCUUCUUGUUUGGAGCCAUUAGAUGAAAAUUUUUGGUGUUUUUAUGUCCUCUUGGUGAGACAAGUAUUGUGAUCCAUUGUGGACAAUCAUUGUUAUAAUCUCCUAUCUUAUCUCACUCUCUUAGGCAAUUUGUUUAUUAAAAACAAAAAACAAAAAAAAAAAUACAAAAAACGGGGAAGUGUGACCAAUGUAGUCACGACUCUAGGAAGGUAUAAGGUGAUAUGAUUGAAGAAUCUAGAGCAAGAGCCGCAAAAUUGGGCCACUCAAGCACUUAAGUCUGGGAUGUGCAAAUAACAAACAUAAUAAAUGGCCAGAUUGAGUGAUGAAAAUCAAAUAGGUUGAGUCUAUGCUUUGAGUAUGUCUUGAAGGCUUAUUAUAUACUUGUCUCUCCAAGAGUGAUAUUUCUUCAUCUCUUGUGUUUUUCUUUUGGCUCUGAACCUCCUCUGUCCAUCUUGCCUUAUCUCUGAGCAUGAAAUCUAAUUCAUAUUCUAUCUAUCAGAGUUAGUUGCAAUUGUUUUGUUUGCACAUGUGGUUAUCUUCUCUCUCGCUUACUCACUGUGCUUGAAGACUUGGACUUGGCUAUAGUAGCUAAUACAUCGUUGAUCACUUGAUAUAUUUGCUAGUUCAUGUUUGUGUUUUUAAAAUCAAAAUCAUGUCUUCUUCAGGGUCGAUACUAAAAUUGAUGCUUGUUAUGAUAUUGCUUGAGUUCACUAGUCAACAUAUGCUCAUGCUAAUUGUGGUUGACUAGUCAUCUGCUUAACAGGGAUCUUGUGACUUUUGGUGAAAUUAAUUUUCACUCUCUAAGAACCAAGACCAUUGGUUAUGACACAAAACACAAAGGUUCACUUGUCUUCUCCUUGUCUCAUUUAUACCUUCUGUUUCAACACUGGUACUGUGUUUAUGUGUGGUCGUGUUUGGAUGAUGCCACUUUGGUCUAUGACCCUAUCUUAAUAAGUUGUGUGUCCCACAUUCAUUGAUUUAGCCUAAUAUAAUCUUGAAAUCCUUAUGAGUCUGUUGUGCUAUAUGAGUUUUGGAUUGUUGGCUAAUUUAUUUUGUUGGGGGAGUUUCUUUGAGAUGCAUGUAUUUUGCCAACAUUCUUGCUGGUUGUUUUUAUCAUUUUCAUACAUCAAUGUUGCCUUCCUAAGCCUUAUCUCGAUUGAUUUGCUCUCUUUUGUUCUUGCUGUGUCUAUGAGGUUGUUGGUCUUUUGAUGCCACCUCAAAUUUAGACAUGCGUGACUAGUCCAUUUCAUAGUCCACUCUCUUCUCCUUGUGCUUUUUGGAAGCUAUGUUGUGUUUUUUUUUUUUUUGGACAACCUAGAGACUUAUUUCUUGUAUUCUUUCUCACAUGUCCUCAAUUUUGAGCAAAAAAUUAAGGUUCAUCUUGCAUGGUGCUUUCUUCAAAUUUGACAUUGAUUAAUGCCUUAAAUUUUGAAAUCUUGGUGCUUUGUCUUGAUUUUGCACUAUGGUGUGUAAAGAAAAAUUCAUUGGUUGUCCCUUGUUUUGAUAAAUAUGUUGCUUAAAGUCUGUCUUUUUAGGGGAGUUUCUUUAUGUGUAAUGUGUACACAUUGAAAUUAAAUUCAACCACUUGAUUUUAAUUGCCUUAGGUAUGAUUCCUUGCAACUUGUGCUCCACUUCUUAUUCUCUUUAGCUUGAUGCACUUUUGUGUUUGUUGGCUAUUUAUGGAAAUUUUGCUGGAUUAGUACAUCAAAGGUUAAUUCCUUUAUGUUAUAUGAUACUCAGGGGGAGUAUUUUUGGACAGGUUGGGGAUCUUUUUGCUUGGGUAGUCUGUGCAACUUGAUAGGGGGAGUUUUCUUGUAUUGUUUUGAGCAAAUGCUGUUUUGCUUUGUAAUCAAACCGUGUCAUGUGCAUAUUGUUCAAAUAUGAUUAUGUGACUUGUGUUUAAUUCACUUGAUUACUGUUUCUCUAUAUUUGCCUUUUUGCUCUUUCCUUAUCAACAAGGGGGAGAACACUCUCAACCCUAUAUUGCAUACAUUGCAUAUUGCUUCAACUUUAUAUGAUAUAAUAUGCUUGUCUUGUGCUUGGGAGUUUGGUUGUUGUUUUGCAGGUACUUCAUUUCAUCAUCUCCUUAGGUUUGGUUUUGGGUUGAGUGUUGUUAGAGAGUGUGUUGUCAAGGAAAGCCAAAAAGGGGGAGAUUGUUAAUGUAUGCAUUUUGGGUUUUUCUUUUGGCUUCCCUUGAAAACUUUGUAAUAGGAUUUCUAUUGUUAUUUAUCAAGCUCAAGCUUAGAUUAAGAAUAGCUUCUCUAGGUGUUCUUAACUAACAACUAUCCUAUGGAGAUUCAAGCAAGUUGACAAAGGUAAGUAUGCAUUGCAUAUCAUGGCAUUAAAACUGUUUUUAUAAAAUGAUGACUAGUCAUCUGUUUCUCGUAUGACUAGUCAUCCUUACUCUGUAGGAUUUCCAGCUGGAUAACAAACCUUUUUGUCCUAUUCUCCUUUCUCUCUCUGCUGCCAUGUGGGUAUUCUGACCUAAGGGAAUUUUUGUCUUUAAAGGCUAUCAAUUUCCUCUUUUGGAGUCGUCGCUUUUGGGUGGAAGAUUUGGAAAGAUUGCUUGCAAGCUUUCUCUUCUUUUUGCUCAAAAGAGAACCAUAUAUGAUAUUCAUGAGUUUUUCCGAAAUGAAUUCUACCUCUUGAAAAACUGCAUGUGUCUUUGAAUCCCAUCUAGCUGCAUAAAUCACUCUCAUUUAUAUCUAGGUUUGAUUCAAGACUAAUUUCUUCAAGAGAAUGGUUUCUUGAAGAAAUUGGUCAUUUUCUCCAUGAAUCCAAAUUUCAUUUCUGUAUGAGUUAGAGCUUGCAAGCUAGUGCCAUGGGAUGAAAGAGUUGGAGAAGGAGCUGCCAUUUCCAUGAAGAACUGGGCUUCAAGCUUUGCUAAGUUGGAGAAGAAGAUUGCACAAAGGAGGUAUUGCUCAUCUUCCUAAAUAGAUCUAGGUUUUGCUUGAGCUUGCUUGUGUUCCUUUGUAAGAAUCUUUUUCUACUUAGUGGAUUGCCUGGUCGGUUGAUGACCCCCAG
rnacentral:lncRNA from 1 species